rnacentral:lncRNA from 1 species
GAUGACUGCGGGCAGGCCUGGAUAAUAUCCAGCCUUCCACAAGAAGCUGGUGGAGCAGAGUGUUCCCUGACUCCUCCAAGGAAAGGAGACUCCCUUUCACCGUCUGCUAAGUAACGGGUGCCUUCCCAGACACUGGCGUUACCGCUUGACCAAGGACCCCUCAAGCGGCCCUGAUGCACGCGUGACAGAGGGCUCACCUCUUGCCUUCUAGGUCACUUCUCACCAUGUCCCUUCAGCACCUGACCCUAUACCCGCCGGU